UGGGGAUUUUUGGACAAUGGGCGAAAGCCUGAUCCAGCAAUGCCGCGUGUGUGAAGAAGGCCUUCGGGUUGUAAAGCACUUUUGUCCGGAAAGAAAACGCCGUGGUUAAUACCCGUGGCGGAUGACGGUACCGGAAGAAUAAGCACCGGCUAACUACGUGCCAGCAGCCGCGGUAAUACGUAGGGUGCAAGCGUUAAUCGGAAUUACUGGGCGUAAAGCGUGCGCAGGCGGUCCGCUAAGACAGAUGUGAAAUCCCCGGGCUUAACCUGGGAACUGCAUUUGUGACUGGCGGGCUAGAGUAUGGCAGAGGGGGGUAGAAUUCCACGUGUAGCAGUGAAAUGCGUAGAGAUGUGGAGGAAUACCGAUGGCGAAGGCAGCCCCCUGGGCCAAUACUGACGCUCAUGCACGAAAGCGUGGGGAGCAAACAGG
rnacentral:rRNA from 1 species